rnacentral:rRNA from 1 species
GACGAACGCUGGCGGCGUGCUUAACACAUGCAAGUCGAGCGAGGAAGCACCUUCGGGUGUGAAUUAGCGGCGAACGGGUGAGGAACACGUGAGAAAUCUGCCUUCAACACUGGGAUAACUCCGGGAAACCGGGGCUAAUCCCGGAUAUGAAACCUGCGGCCAUCCGCGGGUUUGGAAAGCUUUUCGGUUGAAGAUGAUCUCGCGGCCUAUCAGCUUGUUGGUGAGGUAAUGGCUCACCAAGGCGACGACGGGUAGCCGGCCUGAGAGGGCGAACGGCCACACUGGGACUGAGACACGGCCCAGACUCCUACGGGAGGCAGCAGUGGGGAAUAUUGGGCAAUGGAGGAAACUCUGACCCAGCGACGCCGCGUGCGGGAUGAAGGCCUUCGGGUUGUAAACCGCUUUCAGCAGGGAAGAAGCGAAAGUGACGGUACCUGCAGAAGAAGCACCGGCUAACUAUGUGCCAGCAGCCGCUGUAA